rnacentral:misc_RNA from 1 species
UUUAAGUUCUACCUAGCGGUCUUUAUUUUCGAUUUUGUACAAGGGCGAUGGUGUCCAAGCAUGAUUUAGACUCAUUGAUUGGUCUUCCUAUCCAUACUAAAGCUGGAACAUGAAUAUGAUUUAAAAAAUGUCAGCUUUGAUAGGAUUACGGACCUCAGGAGUACGAAUUGUCUCGAUUUCUGAGGUAACCAAGAUACCUCACAAUGGCUGCCGCCCAAAGCGUCGCCCCAGGAAGUGAAUGGUAGACACAUGACAUGAAACUCAACUGAUAUCUCUAUUCCUGUCAAAAGGUGAUCAUCAGUGACUCUUGCAUCAGAUCUAUAAUUAGUGUUCCAUGACGGACAGUAUUCAUGGUUACAAAACAUUCAGCAAUGUCAUCGUUUCUGUAUGAUGGACAUUAAAUUUUUUUUAAAUGUG